AAGGCAGGCACCUGCAAGGCAAGAAGAGAGGCUUCACCAGAAACCAACCCUGACAGCACAUUGAUUUUGGACUUCUAACCUUCCAGAACUCAGGCUACAAACACAUCUCCCUUUCGAACACACCCCUCUGAAAAGAGACCCGGAGAGCCUGCAGAAGAGGGUCAGACAAGCUGUCCUGGUUGAAUGCUAUUGUCAUCAGAGUGAAGGAGGCUAGUUUCAAUGGCUGCAGUGCCAUGUUCAACAUCUGUUUGCUUGGGAGCAAAAUGAUUAUCAUCAGAGAGCAGCAAAGUUCAACUGCGAAUUUGGUAUGAUAUUUACAAAAUAUCCCUUGCUCUAUGAACAUACUGACUGAGAUGACAGUGGAGC